rnacentral:rRNA from 1 species
AACGAACGCUGGCGGCGUGGAUAAGACAUGCAAGUCGAGCGGGAACUUUCGCUGUAGCAAUACAGUGAAAGUUCUAGCGGCGAACGGGUGCGUAACACGUGGACAAUCUGCCUUAAAGUGGGGGAUAGCUCGGCGAAAGCCGAAUUAAUACCGCAUGUGAUGAGAGACGACAUCGUCUUGAAAUCAAAGCCGGGGCAAACCUGGCGCUUUUUGAGGAGUCCGCGGCCAUCAGCUUGUUGGUGAGGUAACGGCUCACCAAGGCUAUGACGGGUAGCUGGUCUGAGAGGACGACCAGUCACACUGGAACUGAGACACGGUCCAGACACCUACGGGUGGCAGCAGUCGAGUAAUUUUUG